rnacentral:snRNA from 1 species
AUACUUACCUGGCGGAAGGGAGAUACCUUGAUCAACGAAGGACGGUUUUCCCAGGGUGGAGGCUAUCAUUGCACUCCGACGGUGUUGCUGACCCUGCGAUGUUUCCCAAAUGCGGCGAAACUCGACUGCAUAAUUUGUGGUAGUGGGGGACUGCGUUUCGCGGCUUUCCCCUG